CUGCCUGUCUGCCUUGUCCUCCUCUCUCCCUCGUCACGUUCUCUCUAUCUCCCCCCUUCCUCCCUACUCUGAUCCAGAUCCAACCUCAGUGCCAUGUUGCGCCUUCUUCCCCAUCGCCGCCGGCCACCAUCCCCACACUUCUCUCCCUUUGCCCGUGGAUCCAUCUCUUCCAUGGACGCCUCCCACACCGUCUCCUCCUUCCCCCAUCUCAUCACUAGGGAAGACAAGGCAAGCGGGAGGAAGAUCGGCCGUGUAGGUCAGAUCCAUCCGCCAUGACCUCGAAGGAGAUGGCCCAGUGGAUGGAGCGGACCUGCAAAUCGUCAAGCCAAGGGCAGCAGGGCUCCAUUCUUGUUCUCUUCUCCAUGGGGGUCACGCACAGGGCUCCACCUACAAGUGAAGAGAAGACCACUGCUCCUCCGGGUCUGCUUCUUCCUACUCUUCAAGGUCCCUCUCUCCCUCUCAUGCUCUGCCUGAAUUAAUGGCAUUAGGUGUCACAACCAAACUGAAACUUUUUUAUCUUCAGAGAGGAGAAAACUGAAUCUUUAAUUAGGUUAGCUUGCACCUGCUGCUGCUUUUUUAUCUUCAUUUAUUUAUCAGAAAUCGUAAUUUACAUUGAAGUUUUUUUAAUUAUUCACAGACACUUAUUUAUGCAUUGUUCUUCCUGUAUAUAAUAGAUGUUGUAUUUUUAGUUGUUCAGGUUCUCAAUGUAUGUUUAUCCACUGUAUAAUGUAGGAGUGCAAUACUUAGAGCUGAAUUUUACUUAAAUGAGAUGCAAUGGCAUUUUUUAUUUUACAAAUAACAAUAAUCUAAUCUACCUUAAUUAGCUCAGGUAUGUUUAUGGCAAACCUUCUUAAGGAAGCAAGAAAUGCCAAUUCUUGUUUAUGUGUUUCGGCAUUCUUUCAUUGUUCUGUAACUACUUUGUGUCAUGAAUUCACUCAUGCACUGUUAUAGGAUAGAUAGCCUGGACCACAAAAGGUGUGGCGUUGACUUAGUGGCAGCUGAGCUGCUGAUAAAGGGCAUGGGUGAACAAAUGAAGGUGACUGGGAUUUUAAAAUGAAGUUAAAUUGUGAUCAGCACAAAGCUUUUGUCUUAUUUUUUAUGUCAACUAAUGCUAUUUGUGAUUUCACAAAUUGCAGUCAGCUUGGGUUAUCAUAGUAUAGCUUCUUUAUGAUUUUUUAGCUUGACACAUUUGAUGCCACAAAAUUCAUGAGUAGUCAAAAUUGAAUGGGAUACUGAGUAUUUGAAGUUCCCUAUUGCCGGACCAGCUAAUCCUGUCGCCAGGCAACUCUUCUCACCCCCUCUUCUCCUCUUGUUAUAAUCAAAUUUAUAUUAUAAGCGGCAGAAUAUUGUGCUGGUGGCUACUAAGUUAGUAAGCAUGCUUGCUGCAUUAUGCUACUAACUUUCUAAUCAUAUCAUGGAUGGACCAAUGUUUGUGUCCGCGCAAUCUGUAUGUAUUGUUGUGGCGUAUCAACUACUUAUUAGCCCCGCAGGUAGCUGCUGCUUUGCUUAUGGCAAUUCGUAAUGUCCGUACUAAUGUGGCUGAUGAAUUAAGCUCCACUAACUAACUAGGUUGUAUUUAAGUUAUAUAUUGGGUCCCUUUUACUUUCCACCAUGGAUAGUAGUAAUCUGCACACUGUUUUCACAUUUCAGUAUCCUGAAUUUGAAUAGCUCAGUUCUGAUGGCACUAGCAUUGGACCAUCUUCAGUCUUGCAACCAAUUAACAUGAUCUCAUACUGCAUAAAUGUGUAUUCCUUUUAUUUAGAAUUAAAUUUGUUCAACGACUGAGGGUUCUGUUUGGAGUUCUCUGUGUCCUACAAUAUUAAAUGGUCAUUCAUAACUGCCCCUGUCUUCUUGCUAUUGGCCAAGUGGUUUUCCAUUUUGAGCUUCAGUGCUCUGCUUGUGUUGCAAGUACAACACUGCACCUGCUGUUUCUUUUUAUUUAUGAAUAGUAUAUGUAACUUGCAAGUACAACCUCAAAAUAAAGUAGUUUUUGAUUUUUAUAAAAUUGUCAUUCAGAAUAAUACGGAAAAUUAAUUCAUUAUAUAUGCAAGGAGCUGAUUCUUGGUAAAAAUUGCUUUGCCUGUAUGUAUGUAGAGUCUUGUAGCUAACUGAUGGGGGAAAAUGUGCCAUGUAAAUCUAAUUGAUGAAAAAAUAUGUUUGGUCAUCAGAAGCUUGUUUGUAGCUGUAUGUAGAUGUUUAGAUGUGCAGUAAGUGAACAUCCGAACAAGAUUAACAAGUGAGGGUCGGUGUUCAGUAGAUAAUAAGAUUGGUCUAAUAUUUCAGUUUGUCCGUUUCAAUACAAUAUUACAUAGGUGAUGUCUUGUUAAUAGAAAUCACUCAGUUUUUCGCUUUCAGUUUUUACUUCUACUUCACAGAGUGGAAGAUUGUAAGAAAACAUUGGCUGAUCUUUAACAAUUAUUGUUAGAGUAAACCAGAGCAAUAUUCGAUGAUAUAUUGUGAGUCAUUGAAAAUGUAUACUGUGUUUUUCUUCAGGAUAUGGAUGACUAUCUGAACGUAAGCAGGUUUCUUCCCAAACUUAACAACGAGAUACUAGGUGAAAGAAAUGAUCCCUACAAGGAAAGGUUGAGCAGCCUAGAGAAUUUAGUACUGAUCAUGGGGUGAUCGUCACGGACUACUGCACCCGGUGGGCAUCGUGCUCUUCAACAACUCGGAGACGGACUUCACCGUGAAGCCCGGCGACUGCGUCACACAGAUGAUUGUCCAGGUGAUUGUGACGUCGGAGGUCGACGAGGUGGAGGACCUUGACGCCACCGUCAGGAGGUUGCCGAGGUGGAGGACCUCGAUGCCACCGUCUGGAGGUUGCCGAGGUGAAGGACCUCGACUCCUUGGUAGAUACAUUUAGAGAAGUGGUCUGGUUAGGUUGGUGGUGGGACGCUAGGGAAGGUACCCACCUUUCGUGAUGGUAUAUAUAAACGGGAUCUCAUGAUUUCUCUGAGUUCAGAUUUUCAAUGUUGUAUACAUGAACGCUGCAAGUGCUAAAAUGGU